rnacentral:misc_RNA from 1 species
GGAAUUGGAAUUAGUUUUACUUUUAUUUUAGUGGCUGAACAUAUUAUUCUCUUUUCAGUAAUUUGUUUUCAUGCAAGGACAAAUUUCAUUAUUCUUUUUGGUUUAUUUUGAUGGGAUUUGUUUCUUUUUGUGCUUUGGUAAUGUCAACAGAUCGUUGUUCAUUCCCAUCCGUCUUUGGAAUAAAUAAAAAGGCAUAUAUACAUAUUGAAAAUAUUUAUAGAUUCAUAUCUUCCACUUCAAGUCUUAUGGAAUAUGACA